GGGUGGUGUCCCUUCGAAAUAGUGAAGAAUACUUAAAAAGUCAUCCUUAGUAACAAAGGUGUCUCUUGUAUGCAAUGUUGAUAACGUGGCAAACAUACGAAAACCACCAAAACCAUUUUCAAAUGCCUCUUACAACCAAGUGUCUCUUGUAACGAGAUUCUACUGUACUGAAUAUUUUUCAUCUCAGGAUCAUCUGCAUGUACAUAUAGUCACAAAGACAUGUUGUGUGGAAUGGCGAACAAGGAAACAGCUCGUACUCCUACUUUUUGUCCCUAACAUAAGCGGCUGAUAACAAUAUGAUAAAAAAACAGGCGAAGAGGCUACCAUAGAACAUGAUCCUUCAGUUCUAAAAAGCUUUUGGGCCCACAUCACUCCCUCAUAUGACAUAAAGAAACAACUUGAUUGCAGUAAUGGCUGCGUGUGAUCUGGGUUGAUUCAAACAAACAAUUCGUAAGGUUGUCCUGUAUGUAACUUUAUCACUGCUCUUUUUAGAUGUCCUGCUGGUGAUCCUGGCUGCACGAUGCUUCUCAUGCUUUUUGGCACGACUGUUCUUUUUUCCGCUCCCCUCUUUUUUCUGACUUUCUCCCCUUUCCCUUCCCUCUUGUGUAAAGUAGCACACCUGAAGUAUCAAAUCGGUUGAAUUAGAGUGUGUAUGAAAUCUGUUAAUAUGUGUGCUUCUCUGUGGUCUGUGUUGUAUUUUUGCGCU
rnacentral:lncRNA from 1 species